rnacentral:rRNA from 1 species
AACGAUGAAGAGUUUGAUCCUGGCUCAGGAUGAACGCUAGCGGCAGGCCUAACACAUGCAAGUCGAACGGUAACAGGAAAUAGCUUGCUAUUUUGCUGACGAGUGGCGCACGGGUGCGUAACGCGUAUACAAUCUACCUUUUACAGUGGGAUAGCCCAGAGAAAUUUGGAUUAAUAUCGCAUAGUAUUAUUAAUUGGCAUCGAUUGAUAAUUAAAGUUUCGGCGGUAAAAGAUGAGUAUGCGUUCUAUUAGCUAGAUGGUGUGGUAACGGCACACCAUGGCAACGAUAGAUAGGGGCCCUGAGAGGGGGAUCCCCCACACUGGUACUGAGACACGGACCAGACUCCUACGGGAGGCAGCAGUGAGGAAUAUUGGACAAUGGGCGCAAGCCUGAUCCAGCC